AUGCUCGAGGAGGAGGACGACACGAACGAUAGAGAGAUCGGCGCCGGAGAGCACCCUGUGGUCAAUCUCGACCAAAUCACCAAAGCCAGAGAAGGCGCGAGCAAUGCCGACAGGGUUGAUGUGCUCGGCGGGGAAUCUGGUGGCAGAGAUGAAGGCCUAGGUCCUGGCCCUUGGUGGCACCCGGUCAGCCUCCUCUUCUCGGGUGAAGAUGAUGCGAGCGCCCUCAAAAGGCAGCUCCCGCAGCGCGACGCACAUUUCGUGGUCCUCGGGAGAGUUGAACCGCAAGUACAUGGCGCCAACGGAUGA
rnacentral:rRNA from 1 species